ACUUGACAGCGUGCGCACUGCACUGAUUGUAUUUAGCGAAGUCUGGGCUAGGAUAUCUGCUUAUUUCAUGCGUAAUAUCUUAUCGCACACAACUGUCAUCAUGAAAGCAAUAAGUCCUGUGCGGUCUAUGAGAAACAACAUUACCAACUCGUCGGAACAUGCCCUCGGCAUCGCCCGGAGCAAAAGCCCGAUGGAUGAUCCUCUGAAUCUGCUGUACAAUAUGAACGACUGCUACACCAAGCUGAAAGAACUCGUGCCCAGCCUCCCGCAGAACAAGAACGUUAGUAAAAUUGAGAUAUUGCAGCAUGUUAUAGACUAUAUAUUAGACCUUCAGAUUGCACUGGACUCUAGCUCAAUCAUCUCCAGCUGCCAACAUCAGCAGCAGCGACCGGGACAGCCAGCAUCACCCAGGAACCCCUUAGCAACCAUCAACUCCGACAUCAGCCUCCUCACCUUUCAGUCAAAUGACCAGCUCCCCAAAGAGACUGAUGACAGCUAAACUCUCCCUCUGACUGGUCUAUUACAGGUGUGUUUUAAACAGGACCCCAUGUUCACCUCCACUGGCUGGCUGGAUUUCCUCUUGAGUUUAUAUUUUUUCCUAAAAGGAGAUACAAGUAUGUGUUUUAGAGUUUUUAUUUAUCUACUGGCCUUUUAUUUUUUUCUUUCAACGGAAGAAUGAUAUCUCACCAACAAUGGAAACACAAGGACAGAAUAACUGACUGAAAAGAUAGUAUUGAAACGAGAUAUCUUUCGACGACAGGAUUCUGCCUUUUCCUGGGCAGGUGGCGCAUGAAACACAGGAGAACUCUCGAAAUGUUUGCUGUUUCUUACAGACGGACUAAUGGACACUCACUGUAUAUAAAUGUUAAGACAAAAAUCAUGCCUGUAUAGUAUCAGAUUGGUUGCAGAGAAUAUAAUGAGGAAUGUUGUAAAUUGCACUUUUAUACAAUAAUAAAUUAGAUUCCUUAUACUGUACAAUUAUGUUAAUAUCCAUAUUAUGUUUUAUGAGGGAUUAUAUUGGAACUUUGUAAGUGGUGUAAAUAUACAGAUUUCCAACAACU